rnacentral:rRNA from 1 species
ACGGAAGGCAGCAGUGGGGAAUAUUGCACAAUGGGCGAAAGCCUGAUGCAGCGACGCCGCGUGAGUGAAGAAGUAUCUCGGUAUGUAAAGCUCUAUCAGCAGGGAAGAAAAUGACGGUACCUGACUAAGAAGCCCCGGCUAACUACGUGCCAGCAGCCGCGGUAAUACGUAGGGGGCAAGCGUUAUCCGGAUUUACUGGGUGUAAAGGGAGCGUAGACGGUUUGGCAAGUCUGAAGUGAAAUGCGGGGGCUCAACUCCUGAACUGCUUUGGAAACUGUCGAACUAGAGUGCAGGAGAGGUAAGUGGAAUUCCUAGUGUAGCGGUGAAAUGCGUAGAUAUUAGGAGGAACACCAGUGACGAAGGCGGCUUACUGGACUGUAACUGACGUUGAGGCUCGAAAGCGUGGGGAGCAAACAGGAUUAGAUACCCUGGUA